UCAGGACGAACGCUGGCGGCGUGCCUAAUACAUGCAAGUCGAGCGAGCUGAAUUCAAAGAUUCCUUCGGGAUGAUUUGUUGGACGCUAGCGGCGGAUGGGUGAGUAACACGUGGGCAAUCUGCCCUAAAGACUGGGAUACCACUUGGAAACAGGUGCUAAUACCGGAUAACAACAUGAAUCGCAUGAUUCAAGUUUGAAAGGCGGCGCAAGCUGUCACUUUAGGAUGAGCCCGCGGCGCAUUAGCUAGUUGGUGGGGUAAAGGCCUACCAAGGCAAUGAUGCGUAGCCGAGUUGAGAGACUGAUCGGCCACAUUGGGACUGAGACACGGCCCAAACUCCUACGGGAGGCAGCAGUAGGGAAUCUUCCACAAUGGACGCAAGUCUGAUGGAGCAACGCCGCGUGAGUGAAGAAGGUUUUCGGAUCGUAAAGCUCUGUUGUUGGUGAAGAAGGAUAGAGGCAGUAACUGGUCUUUAUUUGACGGUAAUCAACCAGAAAGUCACGGCUAACUACGUGCCAGCAGCCGCGGUAAUACGUAGGUGGCAAGCGUUGUCCGGAUUUAUUGGGCGUAAAGCGAGCGCAGGCGGAAUGAUAAGUCUGAUGUGAAAGCCCACGGCUCAACCGUGGAACUGCAUCGGAAACUGUCAUUCUUGAGUGCAGAAGAGGAGAGUGGAACUCCAUGUGUAGCGGUGGAAUGCGUAGAUAUAUGGAAGAACACCAGUGGCGAAGGCGGCUCUCUGGUCUGCAACUGACGCUGAGGCUCGAAAGCAUGGGUAGCGAACAGGAUUAGAUACCCUGGUAGUCCAUGCCGUAAACGAUGAGCGCUAGGUGUUGGGGACUUUCCGGUCCUCAGUGCCGCAGCAAACGCAUUAAGCGCUCCGCCUGGGGAGUACGACCGCAAGGUUGAAACUCAAAGGAAUUGACGGGGGCCCGCACAAGCGGUGGAGCAUGUGGUUUAAUUCGAAGCAACGCGAAGAACCUUACCAGGUCUUGACAUCCUGCGCUACACCUAGAGAUAGGUGGUUCCCUUCGGGGACGCAGAGACAGGUGGUGCAUGGCUGUCGUCAGCUCGUGUCGUGAGAUGUUGGGUUAAGUCCCGCAACGAGCGCAACCCUUGUCUUUAGUUGCCAUCAUUAAGUUGGGCACUCUAGA
rnacentral:rRNA from 1 species